GACGAACGCUGGCGGCGUGCUAAACACAUGCAAGUCGAGCGGGAACCUCUCGAGGGGUAACCCUUGAGAGGGGAGAGCGGCGAACGGGUGAGUAACACGUGGGUAACCUGCCCCAGACACUGGGAUAACUCCGGGAAACCGGGGCUAAUACCGGAUACUCCGGUCCGAUCGCAUGUUCGGACCGGGAAAGCUCCGACGGUCUGGGAUGGGCCCGCGGCCUAUCAGCUUGUUGGUGGGGUAACGGCCUACCAAGGCGACGACGGGUAGCUGGUCUGAGGAGACGGCCAGCCACACUGGGACUGAGACACGGCCCAGACUCCUACGGGAGGCAGCAGUGGGGAAUAUUGCGCUAAUGCGCGAAAGCCUGAUCCAGCAAUGCCGCGUGAGUGAUGAAGGCCUUAGGGUUGUAAAGCUCUUUUACCCGGGAUGAUAAUGACAGUACCGGGAGAAUAAGCACCGGCUAACUACGUGCCAGCAGCCGCAGUAAUAC
rnacentral:rRNA from 1 species